rnacentral:misc_RNA from 1 species
UUCUGAUUUUGAAUAACUACUUUUCUGUUUCUGUUCUGUUUUCUGCAUUUUCUGGUUGUUCAUAAUGGUUUUGCAUGUUUAUUUUCUCUCGUCUUGGCUGAUGCAAUCCUCAUCUGGGUAAAUAGUGUCUAUUUCUGAUCUGCUCAUGGUACAAAAAGGUUCUUUUAUGUGGUUGAAUUGGGCUCAUAUCCAAGUUUGCUCAUAUCCGUUGCUUUUUUGGUUCAUGGCUUUUUACUGUUUCUUGAUCACUCAUGCCUUUGGUCUGUGUUGAUCAAUUCUUGACAUAUGCGUGUGGUUAAUUGGUCUAAUUUCUGAUAGGGAGAAAUAUUUUGUUUCUG